UUGAAACAUUGGUUCCCUUAUGAUCACCAAAGUUAAGCAGUGUUGAACCUGGUCAAUACCUAGAUGGGUGACCACUUGGGGAUACCAGGUGCUGUAAG